AGCAACAUUUCCAACUCUACAGCAGGGUAGGGGAAAUGGGAAGGAAGGAGAAUAUAUGUUUUGCUCAGUUGUGAAGCUGGAGACAAGGAAACUUGUGCUUGUUUGGGUUUUUUUCCCAUGCAGUGAGAAAAACAUGCAAAUGAAGUGUGAAAGAGAAAUUAUUCUGAAAGCAGACAGGAGCAGCAUCGCUGAAAGAACAGGGCCAUCAAGAGAAUCCCAGAUCCAGGGCACAACUGACAGAAAUCACAGGAAUCUGGGACUAAGACCACCUCAUUGAUGGACAAAGGUGUCUGUAUUGAGCCAUAUACCAGGAGCUGAGAGGAGCCUGGCCAGCACCACACAGGACCAGAAAUAGCCUGAGCUCAGCCAGUAACGGCUGGAAGAGUUUUGGCUGGAUGGUGCACAAAAAGCUUUGUGCAGUCACAGAGACAGUGGAGUUGACCUUCAAACCAUAACACUUUUAAAUAUCUGUGAAUAUACAAGGUUAA